UGUAAGAAACCAUUGUCAAGGGAAACCGUGUUGAGAUGGGGAAAAGCUAAUCCCUUCCUCAUGUCAAUGAUCUCCUUCUUAACGAGAAAUCGAAGGUUGGAGCACUGAAGAAGAAACUUCAGCUCUCGAUCUAUCGACGUUCAAGCCUUCAUCAGCAGCGUCAACAGGGUCAGGAUUCGUGCACCAAAGGUCACAGCUUACAACAUAAUAUCCAUAUCGGACGUUCAUGCUUCAGUUCAAGAUGUUUUUUGGUGUGUGAUAUGGUUGUUAAAGUCCCACAUCGACCAACCAAAACCUUGCGAUUCCGUGGGUCGGCCAUAAACAGUUCAACUCGUCAAUCAUUUGGUUCCUCGCCGCUGUAGAUGACUGCUCGGCCUCAAAUUAGCGACCAGGCCAUGAGCCCCUUAGAUCUUAUGGAGUCUAACCCAGAUCUAACAAGGAAGAUUAAUUGGUGGCUUCGAGGGAACACCUGAGGAAUCACCAGCAUGACCAGAUUUAACCACAUUAGAUGGUCCCCAGUUGAUUCAGUGAUCUAGUGCAGAUCUAAUACAUCAAAUUGAAUACUGAAGCUGCUUGCCUGGAUAGGGAAAAUCCAGAUAAAAAUGGUGCAAUGCAGUGUAGUAAUUAUCCUGACAGAGUUGAAUCACAAUUUCUUGCAGCCUGGAUAGGGAAAAUCCAGAUAAAAAUGGACAUGACUAUGUCGGAGAUGGAGAUGAAACAAGUUGCAGUUGCAGUUGGCACUGGCAAUGUAAUUCCAAUAAGAAGAGGGGUUUAGGAACUCAUGAAUGCAUGUUCCAAAGUGCAAAUUUUAGAUCAAAGGUUCAACCACACUGGGAAGUAUUUGGAUUCAGGUGCCUUGAAGAUAUCUAAGAAUUCAUCACUGGCUGAAGGAAUCCAUGACAGUGAAACAGUUCAAGAAAGUGUUUGCUUGAACUGCAGGAAUUGCAUUCUGUAGUGUGCAAGACAAGUGCUCCUCUCAAAGACUGAAAGCUUCCUGCAUUGGCAAGUCAUUUGUGUAGAAGAUCAUCAAGUACUACUCAUCCAGAUUCUCUUGAAUAAAAUUCUAGUAAUAUUAGUAUCUGAAGCUGAACAACAAACUCCUUGUAAGCUUGUCACAAACUGGAUUAAGAAACUGAGAAUUAGAUACUGAUGCAUGCCAA